rnacentral:rRNA from 1 species
UACGUAGGGUGCAAGCGUUGUCCGGAAUUAUUGGGCGUAAAGAGCUCGUAGGCGGUCUGUCGCGUCUGCUGUGAAAACUCGGGGCUUAACCCCGGGCCUGCAGUGGGUACGGGCAGACUAGAGUGCGGUAGGGGAGACUGGAAUUCCUGGUGUAGCGGUGAAAUGCGCAGAUAUCAGGAGGAACACCGGUGGCGAAGGCGGAUCUCUGGGCCUGAUCUGACGCUGAGGCGCGAAAGCUAGGGGAGCAAACAGG